UUUUAUUUGACAAGAUAUCUUUCCUAAAUUUGGCAUGAAUUACUGUCUAAGGCAACAGUACAAUCUCAAAACAAAUUGUUCAGAUCGGACCACUAUAGCAAGUAUUUUUUGUAUUAUCGCUUUAGUGCAAUAUAAGUUAAAGGUUUAUUUUUUUUUUUUUUUUUUGGUGAAAUCAUCAUCCAUUAACGCAGAAAAGUACAAAGUGAAACAUGUCAAAAAUCAUUUUGCCGCAAAUGCUGUGAAAAAGUUAUCAAAAAUCGACAUAUAUUUUUCUAUAAACAUACAUACAUAUGAAAUAUGAACAAAAAUAAUUGCUGAUAAAAAAUAAUGAAAUGCUCAAUACACAAAUAUCAGUUGUGGAAUUGCAAGUGUCGGCCAUGUGGCAAACGUUUUGUGUUGUUCUGCUGUGUAAUUGCCGCAGGUGCUUUAUUGUUGCUUUAUCUUUGGUAUCAGUUGUCAAAAAGUGACAAGUUAGACAUUUCUGGACCACGCCUGCUGCUUUGGUGGACCGAUUACAAUGAAACGCUAUAUUAUCGCAAUAUCUAUUGCGGUUAUUUCGUGUGCACGAUAACCAAUGAUCGACAGCGCCUUGCCGAGGCGAAGGUCAUACUCUUCUAUGGCAGUCGCAUAAACGCUCACGAUAUGCCUUUGCCGCGCCACGCCUAUCAAUUGUGGGCCUUACUGCAGGAUGAGUCGCCGCAAAAUGCACCUUAUUUAUUUUACCAACAAUUUUUGCAUCAUUUCAAUUAUACUUCGACAUUUAGUCGUGCUAGCGAUUUUCCGCUGACCUUGCGUUCGUUGCACAAUCCGAAAGAGUUAAUUUUGCGCACAUAUUUCAGGGCGCUGCGCUAUCGCAGCUUCAUACCGGUGUUAUUUAUGCAAGAUAAUUGUGCGACAUUGUCGGGUCGUGAGAAUUAUGUGCGCGAAUUGAUGACGCAUGUGCCGGUACAUUCAUGUGGCGAGUGUCUGCGUAAUGCGGAUUCGCCGAGUUUUAGGCGUGAAACCGAUGUGUGCGUUUUAUUUCUGGAUUUAAAUUCAUAAUAGCCUUCGAGAUGCCAUUUGUGAUGAUUACAUAACAGCUACAUACUGGCAGGCACUAAUAGUGGGUGCCAUACCUAUAUUUUGGCUCACCUACAAUACGGGACUGGGAACCGUACAAUCACUCCGCCAUUUACGUUUCAGACUUUGAAAGUCCCGAAGCUUUAGCCGAUUUUAUUUACGAACUGGACGCUGAUGAGACAGCCUUUGCCGAGUAUAUGCAACACAAAUUCAAUGUCGAGGAGCCGAUAACAAAUAAACGCUUACUUAAAGCUUUGCUUUGGCAUUACAAUUUUAAUAUUUUAAAGAAAUUUGAGAAUUUUGAAAAAUUCGAAAAAGAGAUGUGCACCGAGAUUAAUAGUCGGAGAGAGAAGCCAAUUUCGAAGAUUGUAAACCAAACGCACUUAAUUGCCCUUUGCCACAACGCUUGCCCGCAACGCUGAAAAUUACAGAACACGUACAUCAGUGGAAAGCUAAUUUUGCGUUAGCCAGUGUGUUGUGCGCCUGCUGGAUAGAUUGUUUGCAGCGGAAAUGCACCGUAUGCGCCGAAAAUUUUACAGAGAAGUUGAAGCAGCUGGUUGGUUGGGGCGCUUGUUGAGUGUUUGUCAUUAACAGGGCGGAGAUAGUGGAGCGGUAUAUUGCAACCUCUGAAUGAAAAUAUAGAUAUAUUUCUGAAAAAUAUAGAUAUUUGUUUUACAUAAGUAAAUUUUGAGAGUAACACUGUUUACUCGCUGCCCUUAAUUGAUUAGCGUACAAUUGGCGUUAAACGGUUGACUAGGGAUUUAUACUUCUGGUUUACACAUAAUUUCGGUUUUGUUCCGAAGACGGUAUACAUCCAGCACUGGGUAGGCGCUGAAGGAUUUCUUUGGAAGAACUUGUGUUGAGUUUUUAGGUAGAAAAAUACCCUAGAGUUAGGGACCUUUGAUUAAAGGAAUUUAAAAUAGCUUUUAGAUCGUUGUGUACCUAGUUCAGCAUCUACAGAUCGGUCUCUAAAAAUAAACAUACCAAAGAUUUUUCUGGUAAACGCCAUGAUAUGGCAGAAUUAGAUUGUUUUUUUGUUUUAUAAAUUUGCCAUGCUACCGAGAAAAAGACAUCCAUGAGGAAUUAAACACAACGUUUUCAUUCCCCCUUUUAGAAGAAUAGACCAAUGCUUCUGUGGCGAAAUCUACACAACCACCGACGUAUCAAAGGGUGAAAAAUGAACAGGAGCGGGUUCAAUCUGUAGUAAUCCAAACGCAGAAGGUAGCUUCAAACUAAAUGAUUACAAUUUCUGAUAUGAUUACAAUUCAGGCGCCAAAUGGGCUGCUGCUCUAACCAGCAAUUCACCAAACUUUCUAGUUGACAGCUAAGCGGCAAUUAGCAGGAACAUAACUCCACUAAGCUGACUUUCAUUCAAGGGUUAUUUGAAGCAAUGGAUCUUAGAGGGACACUAACUUCAGUAAAUUGGUAAAGCAUAUUCGACGAAAUGCAGAGCAUGCGCAAAGGAUGAUGAGACGCUGGAACAUUAUAUUUGCGAAUGCCAAGCCUUCAGCCAGCUAAGACGGAAUAUCUUUUAUAGCUCCUUGUGCUAAAACUUAAAAGACAUUGGACAGCCAGGG